CGGAUGACGGGAGCUUGCUCCUUGAUUCAGCGGCGGACGGGUGAGUAAUGCCUAGGAAUCUGCCUGGUAGUGGGGGACAACGUUUCGAAAGGAACGCUAAUACCGCAUACGUCCUACGGGAGAAAGUGGGGGAUCUUCGGACCUCACGCUAUCAGAUGAGCCUAGGUCGGAUUAGCUAGUUGGUGAGGUAAUGGCUCACCAAGGCGACGAUCCGUAACUGGUCUGAGAGGAUGAUCAGUCACACUGGAACUGAGACACGGUCCAGACUCCUACGGGAGGCAGCAGUGGGGAAUAUUGGACAAUGGGCGAAAGCCUGAUCCAGCCAUGCCGCGUGUGUGAAGAAGGUCUUCGGAUUGUAAAGCACUUUAAGUUGGGAGGAAGGGCAGUAAGCUAAUACCUUGCUGUUUUGACGUUACCGACAGAAUAAGCACCGGCUAACUCUGUGCCAGCAGCCGCGGUAAUACAGAGGGUGCAAGCGUUAAUCGGAAUUACUGGGCGUAAAGCGCGCGUAGGUGGUUCGUUAAGUUGGAUGUGAAAGCCCCGGGCUCAACCUGGGAACUGCAUCCAAAACUGGCGAGCUAGAGUACGGUAGAGGGUGGUGGAAUUUCCUGUGUAGCGGUGAAAUGCGUAGAUAUAGGAAGGAACACCAGUGGCGAAGGCGACCACCUGGACUGAUACUGACACUGAGGUG
rnacentral:rRNA from 1 species